UAAGGAAUAUUGGACAAUGGGCGCAAGCCUGAUCCAGCCAUGCCGCGUGCAGGAUGAAAGUGCUAUGCACUGUAAACUGCUUUUGUUUGGGAAAAAACCCCUGGUUUCUACUGGGGCUAAUUGUACCAAAAGAAUAAGGGACGGCUAACUUCGUGCCAGCAGCCGCGGUAAUACGAAGGUCCCAAGCGUUAUCCGGAUUUAUUGGGUUUAAAGGGUGCGUAGGCGGACUAUUAAGUCAGUGGUGAAAGCCCCAAGCUUAACUUGGGAACUGCCAUUGAUACUGGUGGUCUGGAGUACAUUUGAGGUGGGCGGAAUGUGUCAUGUAGCGGUGAGAUGCUUAGAUAUGACACAGAACACCGAUUGCGAAGGCAGCUCACUAAACUGUAACUGACGCUGAGGCAAGAAAGCGUGGGGAGCAAACAGG
rnacentral:rRNA from 1 species